UACGUAGGGUGCGAGCGUUAAUCGGAAUUACUGGGCGUAAAGCGUGCGCAGGCGGUUCGUUGUGUCGGCGGUGAAAGCCCCGGGCUCAACCUGGGAAUGGCCGUUGAAACUGGCGAACUGGAGUGUGGCAGAGGGGGGUGGAAUUCCGCGUGUAGCAGUGAAAUGCGUAGAGAUGCGGAGGAACACCGAUGGCGAAGGCAGCACUCUGGCCGAAUACUGACGCUGAGACGCGAAAGCGUGGGGAGCGAACGGG
rnacentral:rRNA from 1 species